CCUACGGGUGGCAGCAGUGAGGAAUAUUGGUCAAUGGCCGGAAGGCUGAACCAGCCAUGCCGCGUGAAGGUCAGUGCCCUAUGGGCGUUAAACUUCUUUUGUGCGGGAGCAAUAAUGGUCACGUGUGGCCAGACGAGAGUACCGUACGAAUAAGCAUCGGCUAACUCCGUGCCAGCAGCCGCGGUAAUACGGGGGAUGCAAGCGUUAUCCGGAUUUAUUGGGUUUAAAGGGUGCGUAGGCUGUGAGGUAAGUCAGCGGUGAAAUGCCCACGCUAAACGGGGUGAAGUGCCAUUGAUACUGUCGUGCUGGAAUGCGGAUGCCGUGGGAGGAAUGUGUGGUGUAGCGGUGAUAUGCAUAGAUAUCACACAGAACACCGAGUGCGAAGGCAUCUCACGAAUCCGCGAUUGACGCUGAUGCACGAAAGCGUGGGUAUCAAACAGGAUUAGAUACCCGAGUAGUC
rnacentral:rRNA from 1 species